AAAACAGAAAAAAGCAGAGCCACUCCACUUUAUUCGUGCCUGGUCUCCUCGGUUAGCACUCAGGAGCCCUGUUGGGACCGUUUCGAGAAGGGUCUUGUGGGUGUGGGGUAUUUUGGCUUCAUUUUUGCACAAUGGUAGGAGGCGCAGUCGCGUCGUCCAUGUUUUCUACAGGGGUGGCAGUUCUAGCUCCAUGCAUUUGAACUUUCUACUAAAACUUUCUAUGGUCCGUUUCUCCCGGUUGUCGUAUUCGCCGGUAAUGCACGUGCGUAUUAGGGGUAUUCCACUAAGCGAGCUCUACAAGUCAAGGCUGGGCAGUGGGUCCAUGAAUAAACUGCCUCACUCCAGCAGGUGUCCUUCCAUACUUCCCAUCGUUCAAGAACCAAAAGAUGGCCAGAAGCAUGUGCUGCGUGUGUAUGUUGAACGAGACACCGCCCUGAAACUUACUCUACUUGAGCGACCAAAGUCGGUGGAGGAGCUGAAAGAAAUAAUUCGAGAGGUUCAAGCCAAGACUGAAUGGGGACUUUAGCCUUCACUAUGUCCUCAUGGACAUGCCCUAUGUCGCCAAGAAAUUGUUGGAGCUGUUGGAGCUCCACGAGUGAGACGUCGUGGACAGAUGGCCAGCCCUACUUAUGGAGUCACAGGUGUGUCGGAACAAGGAUGCAUCUAAAAGCUGCAGGACGGUAGCUCUCGAGGACUGGGAUUGGGCACCCCUGAUCUAGGAACAGCGUGAUGUAAAUACAAGACGGGCCCUCGUCCUUCGUGCACUUCCUGUGUACCUGCGUGAAGAUGCCUCCACGUUAUUCAGGACUUGUGAUUCAGCAGAUGGUCCAGACCUCACUGUCACUCCUGUGGCUCUGCUGACAGUUGUCACGGAUGACACCACUGAUUCGGCCCUCUUCAGUCCCAAAAGCAUCUGCAUUGUCGUUGAGGAUGAAAUACUUGUGAAUGGUCCCACAAAUCUGGCUGACUCAUUUCUCCUGCUCUUUGGGUACAUCUAUGCACUAGACCUACAAUACCCAAAGAAAGUUGAGCUUACAUUCACACAUUCAAGGUUGUGAUGUGCCUUGAGGACAACAAACCACUGAAAGGGCGUCUACUGAUGCUGAAGAAUGAUUUGUUCAAUGAGUGAAUCACUCAGAAUGGACUACUUGUUGAGCUGAGUAUUGAGGAAGCUUUUUUUUUUUUUUUUUCCUAAUCAUUUGGCUCUUCUACUUCAAAUUUAAAGUGAAUGACUGCUCAUUUCGUGGACUAUUCACGUUUAACGUUCUGUUGCCUAAUACCUUAAUGCACUGCCUUGAUGUUUGUUACCUAUGAAGUACAGCAGUGGAAACCAGUACAUUUCUUUUUAUGUAUUUUUAAAAUAAGUGAGCUGCAGCUGUCAAGGUACAGUAAGUGUUAAAUGCCUCAAUGUUCUAAUAGCUGCAAUUGCUGUUAAUACUGAAAAUGUUAUUUAAUUUUAGAAUUGAGAUGGAGACCCUUGGAGUCUUUUGUCUUUUGUUUUAUUUAUGAAGCACUUUUUUUAUGAGUGAGCUCCGUUAUCUGUGCCUUUUUAAAAGCACAUUGUGUUUAAUAAAAAAAGUUGUUAAAUUGUUA